rnacentral:rRNA from 1 species
UUUGGUUAAGUUAGAAAGGGCGCACGGUGGAUGCCUUGACACUAGGAGUCGAUGAAGGACGGGACUAACGCCGAUAUGCUUCGGGGAGCUGUAAGUAAGCUUUGAUCCGAAGAUUUCCGAAUGGGGAAACCCACCAUACGUAAUGGUAUGGUAUCCUUAUCUGAAUACAUAGGGUAAGGAAGACAGACCCAGGGAACUGAAACAUCUAAGUACCUGGAGGAAGAGAAAGCAAAUGCGAUUUCCUGAGUAGCGGCGAGCGAAACGGAACAUAGCCCAAACCAAGAGGCUUGCCUCUUGGGGUUGUAGGACAUUCUAUACGGAGUUACAAAGGAACGAGGUAGACGAAGCGACCUGGAAAGGUCCGUCGUAGAGGGUAACAACCCCGUAGUCGAAACUUCGUUCUCUCUUGAAUGUAUCCUGAGUACGGCGGAACACGUGAAAUUCCGUCGGAAUCUGGGAGGACCAUCUCCCAAGGCUAAAUACUCCCUAGUGAUCGAUAGUGAACCAGUACCGUGAGGGAAAGGUGAAAAGCACCCCGGAAGGGGAGUGAAAGAGAUCCUGAAACCGUGUGCCUACAAAUAGUCAGAGCCCGUUAAUGGGUGAUGGCGUGCCUUUUGUAGAAUGAACCGGCGAGUUACGAUCCCGUGCGAGGUUAAGCUGAAGAGGCGGAGCCGCAGCGAAAGCGAGUCUGAAUAGGGCGUUUAGUACGUGGUCGUAGACCCGAAACCAGGUGAUCUACCCAUGUCCAGGGUGAAGUUCAGGUAACACUGAAUGGAGGCCCGAACCCACGCACGUUGAAAAGUGCGGGGAUGAGGUGUGGGUAGCGGAGAAAUUCCAAUCGAACCUGGAGAUAGCUGGUUCUCCCCGAAAUAGCUUUAGGGCUAGCCUUAAGUGUAAGAGUCUUGGAGGUAGAGCACUGAUUGGACUAGGGGUCCUCAUCGGAUUACCGAAUUCAGUCAAACUCCGAAUGCCAAUGACUUAUCCUUAGGAGUCAGACUGCGAGUGAUAAGAUCCGUAGUCAAAAGGGAAACAGCCCAGACCGCCAGCUAAGGUCCCAAAGUGUGUAUUAAGUGGAAAAGGAUGUGGAGUUGCUUAGACAACUAGGAUGUUGGCUUAGAAGCAGCCACCAUUUAAAGAGUGCGUAAUAGCUCACUAGUCGAGUGACUCUGCGCCGAAAAUGUACCGGGGCUAAAUACACCACCGAAGCUGCGGAUUGAUACCAAUGGUAUCAGUGGUAGGGGAGCGUUCUAAGGACAGUGAAGUCAGACCGGAAGGACUGGUGGAGUGCUUAGAAGUGAGAAUGCCGGUAUGAGUAGCGAAAGACGGGUGAGAAUCCCGUCCACCGAAUGCCUAAGGUUUCCUGAGGAAGGCUCGUCCGCUCAGGGUUAGUCAGGACCUAAGCCGAGGCCGACAGGCGUAGGCGAUGGACAACAGGUUGAUAUUCCUGUACCACCUCUUUAUCGUUUGAGCAAUGGAGGGACGCAGAAGGAUAGAAGAAGCGUGCGAUUGGUUGUGCACGUCCAAGCAGUUAGGCUGAUAAGUAGGCAAAUCCGCUUAUCGUGAAGGCUGAGCUGUGAUGGGGAAGCUCCUUAUGGAGCGAAGUCUUUGAUUCCCCGCUGCCAAGAAAAGCUUCUAGCGAGAUAAAAGGUGCCUGUACCGCAAACCGACACAGGUAGGCGAGGAGAGAAUCCUAAGGUGUGCGAGAGAACUCUGGUUAAGGAACUCGGCAAAAUGACCCCGUAACUUCGGGAGAAGGGGUGCUUUCUUAACGGAAAGCCGCAGUGAAUAGGCCCAAGCGACUGUUUAGCAAAAACACAGCUCUCUGCGAAGCCGUAAGGCGAAGUAUAGGGGGUGACACCUGCCCGGUGCUGGAAGGUUAAGGAGAGAGGUUAGCGUAAGCGAAGCUCUGAACUGAAGCCCCAGUAAACGGCGGCCGUAACUAUAACGGUCCUAAGGUAGCGAAAUUCCUUGUCGGGUAAGUUCCGACCCGCACGAAAGGUGUAACGAUUUGGGCACUGUCUCAACCAGAGACUCGGUGAAAUUAUAGUACCUGUGAAGAUGCAGGUUACCCGCGACAGGACGGAAAGACCCCGUGGAGCUUUACUGUAGCCUGAUAUUGAAUUUUGGUACAGUUUGUACAGGAUAGGCGGGAGCCUUUGAAACCGGAGCGCUAGCUUCGGUGGAGGCGCUGGUGGGAUACCGCCCUGACUGUAUUGAAAUUCUAACCUACGGGUCUUAUCGACCCGGGAGACAGUGUCAGGUGGGCAGUUUGACUGGGGCGGUCGCCUCCUAAAGUGUAACGGAGGCGCCCAAAGGUUCCCUCAGAAUGGUUGGAAAUCAUUCGUAGAGUGCAAAGGCAUAAGGGAGCUUGACUGCGAGACCUACAAGUCGAGCAGGGACGAAAGUCGGGCUUAGUGAUCCGGUGGUUCCGCAUGGAAGGGCCAUCGCUCAACGGAUAAAAGCUACCCCGGGGAUAACAGGCUUAUCUCCCCCAAGAGUCCACAUCGACGGGGAGGUUUGGCACCUCGAUGUCGGCUCAUCGCAUCCUGGGGCUGUAGUCGGUCCCAAGGGUUGGGCUGUUCGCCCAUUAAAGCGGUACGCGAGCUGGGUUCAGAACGUCGUGAGACAGUUCGGUCCCUAUCCGUCGUGGGCGUAGGAAAUUUGAGAGGAGCUGUCCUUAGUACGAGAGGACCGGGAUGGACGCACCGCUGGUGUACCAGUUGUUCUGCCAAGGGCAUAGCUGGGUAGCUAUGUGCGGAAGGGAUAAGUGCUGAAAGCAUCUAAGCAUGAAGCCCCCCUCAAGAUGAGAUUUCCCAUAGCGUAAGCUAGUAAGAUCCCUGAAAGAUGAUCAGGUUGAUAGGUUCGAGGUGGAAGCAUGGUGACAUGUGGAGCUGACGAAUACUAAUAGAUCGAGGACUUAACCAUAUAA